rnacentral:rRNA from 1 species
UACGAAGGGGACUAGCGUUGUUCGGAAUUACUGGGCGUAAAGCGCGCGUAGGCGGAUCGCUAAGUCAGGGGUGAAAUCCCAGGGCUCAACCCUGGAACUGCCUUUGAUACUGACGAUCUGGAGAUCGGGAGAGGUUGGUGGAAUUCCGAGUGUGGAGGUGAAAUUCGUAGAUAUUCGGAGGAACACCAGAAGCGAAGGCGGCCAACUGGCCCGAUACUGACGCUGGAGGCGCGAAAGCGUGGGGAGCAAACAGG